rnacentral:misc_RNA from 1 species
AACCAUACUCAAAGAAGAAAUAAGGGUCUUAGACACACAAAUAAAUAAAUAAAUAAAAUCAACUAAUUAAUCCCAGCUAUAUGGAUCCAAAAAUAAUUUAAACCCACGCUAAUAUAAUUUCAUUAGGCUUUAUGUGCAGAUGCCAUUUUAUUGCAGUUGAAGUUGCAUAAAUGACUAGUAGAUCUUAGCAUUGACCUGGCAACUAUGUUAUUGCAUUGUGAUGAGAACUGGAGCUAAAAUAUGUAGCAAGAGAUAUGUUAUUUCUUUGUGGGCGGGCACCCAUUAAAGUUUCAUUGUAUCCUCCUCCUUCCAUUGCCCUAAUGAGAACAGAGUUGAUUGCUCCACAAUCCCAACUUUGGAGGCAAAUGAUGCCCAAUUUGGCAACUAAUCGUUGAUUCCACAACUUAAAACACAUGUUAGUUUGAUAAUUUACAUAUGCUCUUGGUUUUAUUUGGAUUCAGCAUCAAAAGGAUUACAUGCUCUUCUACCUUCUUCUACUCAUCUUCCUGCUUCCUCCCCUGUUCUAACUCUUUACAUGGUUUCGACGAUGCACGUUAAUGGGGUACCGUUUCCGCGUCCGGGUUGUUGGAAAGAACACCAAUUUAUCUUCCUCAGCAGGAGUCCAACUGUCCAUGAAUGAAGGGUAUUAGUUUCAAGAAAACCUAGGAAAAUGAAUAAGAGUUGGUAUGCGUAUGAUACCUGAAACUUGUUACCAGGUGAUGAAGGAAAACAGAGA